AGAUAGCAGAACUACUG
rnacentral:misc_RNA from 1 species